rnacentral:tRNA from 1 species
GUAGGUAUAGUUUAAUCAAAACGUUAGAUUGUGGUUCUAGAGACAAAAGUUAAACUCUUUUUACCCACC